UGCUCAGUGUUUAUAAAUAGCCGCAGUAAUUUGACUGUGCAAAGGUAGCAUAAUCAUUUGCCUUAUAAUUGAGGGCUAGUAUGAAUGGAUUAACGAGAGUUUUUCUGUCUCUAAUCUAUAAUAAUAACUUGUAUUUAAUGUGAAGAUACAUUAAUUUUUUAGUGGGACAAGAAGACCCUUUUGAGCUUUAUUUAGAUUUUUUUUUUUAAAAAAUUUUAAUUUGGUUGGGGCGACCUGUGAAGAUUAAAAUUUUUAGAUCUUCUUUUGAUAAUAAAGAACCAUUAAUUUUGGGUUUCAGAUUAAGUUACCAAAGGGAUAACAGCGUAAUUUUUUUUUAGAGUUCUUAUUAAAAAAAAAGAUUGCGACCUCGAUGUUGACUUAUGAUUUCCUUUUGGUGCAGUAGCUU
rnacentral:rRNA from 1 species